CUACUUGGGAGACUGAGGCAAGACGAUCCCUUGAACCCAGGAGUUGGAAGGUACAGUAAGCUAUGAUUGUGCCAGUGCUCUCCAUCCUGGGUGACAGAGUGAGACCUUGCCUCUAAAAAGAACAAAAAAAGAGAUGAACAACGAAAAUGAGAGACAAAGAGGAAGAACAUUAGAAUAUACGGCAUUCAAAGACAACCUGUAAAGACCCUCAUCUGACUCUC
rnacentral:lncRNA from 10 species